GUUAGCGAUAGUAAUGGGUCAGUUAGUUAAAGUAACAGUGAUAGUAAUGGGUCAGUUAGCGAUAGUAAUGGGUCAGUUAGUUAAAGUAACAGUGAUAGUAAUGGGUCAGUUAGCGAUAGUAAUGGGUCAGUUACUUAAAGUAACAGUGAUAGUAAUGGAUCAGUUAGCGAUAGUAAUGGGUCAGUUAGUUAAAGUAACAGUGAUAGUAUUGGGUCAGUUAGUUAAAGUAACAGUGAUAGUAAUGGGUCAGUUAGCAAUAGUAAUGGGUCAGUUAGCAAUAGUAAUGGGUCAGUUAGUUAAAGUAACAGUGAUAGUAAUGGGUCAGUUAGCGAUAGUAAUGGGUCAGUUAGUUAAAGUAACAGUGAUAGUAAUGGGUCAGUUAGCGAUAGUAAUGGGUCAGUUA